CACACAUUGCCACACAGACCUGCUGUCAGGCCCCCGUGUGUGCCAGGCGUGCCAUGUCUGCAGUGUUCAUGCUCACCUGGGCUGCCCAUAUCAUGCACCAGGCACUUGGCCAUGCUCUACAGUCCCCAGUUCUUCGAGGCAGAGCUCCACUAUGACCGCAAGCCUACUUACUACAAUGAACAAAGCAAUAAACCAAGCCCUGACUUGUAGUGUCUGCUGGAGUCCAUGGAGUAAAUGCUCCCACCAUGGCUGACAUCAAGCCCCAACAUGACGUCUCUGGGUGCAAACACAGAACCCACGUCAGAUGACCUGCCUGCGCAUCUCUAUCGGCUAGCAUUCAGACAAGACCUUGCACAUCACUAUCUGCUAUCCUCCAGACCAGACCACCUUCGGAUUCGGCUGCAAAGCUGUCGCCUAAACCUUUGACAGACACCAGCAUCUCAGUCCACUGCUCUAAGAAUGCAGGGAGAGACACCACACGCAUCAAGCAGGAUUUGGUCGAACUUUACCUUCCACAGAUUGGAAUCUAAAUAGAAGGGAGAAGAAAUAUUUCAUUUUCCCAAGCACAAAAUUAAAGCUGAAUUUGCUUCUUCAGA